UGUUGCUUGGAAGGAAAAAAAAGAUCCGGCAGGAGAAAAAAAAAAGAAAAUAUGAAUACGGUGGUUUUGGUCACGGGAGCAAAUAGCGGCAUCGGCCUGGUGCUGUGUGAGCGUCUCCUCUCGCAGGACUUGGAGGGUCUCCAGCUGUGCCUGGCCUGCAGGAGCAUGCGGCGGGCUCAGGCCGCUCGCUCGGCCCUCCUCGCCUCUCACCCCGCCGCCCAGGUGGCCCUGCUGCAGGUGGACACCAGCAGCAUCUCCUCCGUCAUCGCCGCCGCGCGGGAGGUCAAACUCAGGUACAACCGUCUGGACUACCUCUACCUGAACGCAGGCAUCAUGCCAAACCCCCAGUUUGAUGUGAAAGCCUUUUUCAAGGGCCUCUUCUCCAGUCGUAUCGUCUCCAUGUUCGCCACCGGGGAGGGGAUUCUCACGCAGAAGGACGGCGUCACCCCCGACGGCCUGCAAGACGUGUUUGCGACCAACCUCUUCGGUCACUUCCUACUCAGUUCUGAAGGGAGGGACCGGCAUCGGGGUUGUGUUGGAGCAUCAUGCUGCAGGCAGUGGAAGACCAGAGGAAUGCCGGGUCAGCGUGGGAAGAAAACAUACAGGUGUAUCCUUCCUUUAAUGUAUGACCUGUCCAACAGGUAAGGGGGUGAAUAUGCUAUUAAGCAGCUGCUGCAGAACCCCCCAGUCACCCAAAGCAGCCUUCAAUAGUUUGCACAUUCAUAAGAUAAGAAUAUAAAAUACAACUGAGAAUAUAAAAUGUACAUUACACCCCACAGAGGUUAUUUCCAGAGUCCUUAAAGGCAGUUUGGGGAAUCGUGCUGGAGGCAGAAUAAGAGAAGGCCUUUUAAUUUUUUUUUAAAGAAUUGAAAGAGCAACGGUUACCUCUGUUUACUAGACAUGUAAGUGGGUAAUAAGUGGGCAGCAGGCCAAGGAUGGAUUUAUAAAUGAAGUGUUAUAGUGUAAAGUUCAUGGAUAAAAAUGAAGUAAACUCAUCUGUUUCUCACGCAAACCUAGUUAAAAUCUCUUAAUUCAAAUCAGCAAUUUGCUGUAUUUUUUUGUGUAUUGUCACGCUGCGUUGUUCUCCAUGUCGUUUGCCAAGAUCAGGGAGCUGGAACCGGUUCUGUGCCACGCGGGCCGGACGUCCCGGCUGAUCUGGACCUCCUCCAGCAACGCUCACCGCUCGGCUUUCGACCUCGACGACGUGCAGCACCGGAGAGGCGCCCGACCUUACAGCUCCUCCAAGUACGCCUCCGACCUGCUCAGCCUGGCGCUCAACACGCGCUACAACAAACAGGGUUUGUUCUCAUCCGUCACCUGUCCUGGUUUUGUGAUGACCAACCUGACCUACGGGAUCCUGCCCUCCUUCCCAGCCGUCCUCUGGACUCUGCUAAUGCCCGUCUUUUGGCUCAUAAGAAUGUUCACCAAUACUUUCACGCUGACGCCUUAUAACGGAGCUGAAGCCCUGCUCUGGCUAUUUAAGCAAAAGCCUGAAUCGCUGGACCCUCAAGCCAAGUACCACAGCUUCACAUCUGGUCUAGGAAACAACUACACACUUCCACGAAAGAUGGACAUCGACGUGGAAACAUCGGACGCUCUGUUUGAGAAGUUGCUGCGACUGGAACGUGACGUGAGAGAGAAGCUGAAGGAGAGAGCCGAAGAAUCGCAGUAUCCCUGCAGGACUUGAUGCGGAUCGCACAGAGGAGGCAUACUUUCUUUCAGAGCUCACAAAACAUGGCAGCCGGAAUCCACAGCACAAAAUAAACAAUGAUGGUGAUGGUGAUAACGUCCACUAGAAGACACACAGCUCAAACCUUCAGCAGCCAGUCGGACAAAAAUACAAAUGUUCUUUCAGGAUGGACUGAAAAAGUCCCGUGUGUUGGGAUUCUCCCUGCAGCAAGAUAUGGAUGAUUUUUUUGGACACUCCCAGGUGUAUUGCCAAUAGAUGAAUAGAACGAUUAAUGCAUAUACAGACACAUCAGGGCGAAACAGAAUUGUCGAGCCCGUCGUCCACUUUUGGUACAGGAUUUAAGAGGGAACUCAUUCCCACUUCCAGAUGAUGUCUCACAUAGCGCCUUCAGUUACCUCUUUAGGAAAAUAUUGGCUAAAUCGUGGUCAACAAAGGAUACUUUGGAUAUUAUUAUAAAGGCUCACUUGUGAUUAGUUAUUUUAAACAAGUAUAUUGUGGUGUUAUUUGUACUUGAAUUCUUUGUUUGUUGGAAAGUCUGGUGUGAAAAUGUUCAAUAAAUAAAAACACAACUGGUAAAAGGUC